rnacentral:rRNA from 1 species
CGAUGUCCGAAUGGGGAAACCCAGUGUGUUCCGACACACUAUCGUUAACUGAAUACAUAGGUUAACGAGGCGAACCGGGGGAACUGAAACAUCUAAGUACCCCGAGGAAAAGAAAUCAACCGAGAUUCCCCCAGUAGCGGCGAGCGAACGGGGAGCAGCCCGGAGUCUGAAUCAGCUUGUGUGUUAGUGGAACGGUCUGGAAAGUCCGACGGUACAGGGUGAUAGUCCCGUACACGAAAAUGCACAGGUUGUGAACUCGAAGAGUAGGGCGGGACACGUGGUAUCCUGUCUGAAUAUGGGGGGACCAUCCUCCAAGGCUAAAUACUCCUGACUGACCGAUAGUGAACCAGUACCGUGAGGGAAAGGCGAAAA